rnacentral:piRNA from 1 species
AAAAGAAACAUUAAGACUGAGAC